GAUGAACGCUGGCGGCGUGCCUAAUACAUGCAAGUCGAGCGAACAGACGAGGAGCUUGCUCCUCUGACGUUAGCGGCGGACGGGUGAGUAACACGUGGAUAACCUACCUAUAAGACUGAGAUAACUUCGGGAAACCGGAGCUAAUACCGGAUAAUAUAUUGAACCGCAUGGUUCAAUAGUGAAAGACGGUUUUGCUGUCACUUAUAGAUGGAUCCGCGCCGCAUUAGCUAGUUGGUAAGGUAACGGCUUACCAAGGCGACGAUGCGUAGCCGACCUGAGAGAGUGAUCGGCCACACUGGAACUGAGACACGGUCCAGACUCCUACGGGAGGCAGCAGUAGGGAAUCUUCCGCAAUGGGCGAAAGCCUGACGGAGCAACGCCGCGUGAGUGAUGAAGGUCUUCGGAUCGUAAAACUCUGUUAUUAGGGAAGAACAAAUGUGUAAGUAACUAUGCACGUCUUGACGGUACCUAAUCAGAAAGCCACGGCUAACUACGUG
rnacentral:rRNA from 1 species